AUGUGGAGGGAGGCUAAGGAACAGA
rnacentral:piRNA from 1 species